CUGAUCCAGCCAUGCCGCGUGCAGGAAGACUGCCCUAUGGGUUGUAAACUGCUUUUUUACGGGAAGAAACACCCCCACGUGUGGGGGCUUGACGGUACCGUACGAAUAAGGACCGGCUAACUCCGUGCCAGCAGCCGCGGUAAUACGGAGGGUCCGAGCGUUAUCCGGAAUCAUUGGGUUUAAAGGGUCCGUAGGCGGGCGUCUAAGUCAGUGGUGAAAUCUCGCGGCUCAACCGUGAAAUUGCCAUUGAUACUGGUCGCCUUGAAUUAGUGUGAAGUGGCUAGAAUAUGUAGUGUAGCGGUGAAAUGCUUAGAUAUUACAUAGAAUACCGAUUGCGAAGGCAGGUCACUAACACUAUAUUGACGCUGAUGGACGAAAGCGUGGGGAGCGAACAGGAUUAGAUACCCUGGUAGUCCACGCCGUAAACG
rnacentral:rRNA from 1 species